CACCGCGGUUAUACGAGAGGCUCAAGUUGACAGACAACGGCGUAAAGAGUGGUUAAGGAAAAUUAUUAAACUAAAGCCGAACGUCCUCAGAGCUGUUCAACGCUUCCGAGUUAAGAAGCCCCACUACGAAAGUAGCUUUACUCCCCCUGACCCCACGAAAGCUGUGAAA
rnacentral:rRNA from 1 species